AGGGUGUAAACGCUGCAGACUUGGUGUUGGAGGCCCUUUGGGGGCAUUCAGUGCCGGAGAGAAGUUGUUAAGUCUGCUACUUGGGGAGUACGUCCGCAAGGAUGAAACCUAAAGGAAUUGGCGGGGGAGCACCGCAACGGGAGGAGCGUGCGGUUUAAUUGGAUUCAACGCCGAAAAACUCACCAGCAGCGACUGUUACAUGAAAGUCAGGUUGAUGACCUUACUAGAUUUUCAGAGAGGAGGUGCAUGGCGUCAGUGACU
rnacentral:rRNA from 1 species